UGGAUUGUGGCUCAGUAGUAGAGCGCUCGCCUGGAAUGCAUGAGGCACUGGGUUCGAUCCUCAGCACCACAU
rnacentral:tRNA from 1 species